rnacentral:rRNA from 1 species
GACGAACGCUGGCGGCGUGCCUAAUACAUGCAAGUCGAACGCUGAAGAGAGGAGCUUGCUCUUCUUGGAUGAGUUGCGAACGGGUGAGUAACGCGUAGGUAACCUGCCUUGUAGCGGGGGAUAACUAUUGGAAACGAUAGCUCAUACCGCAUAACAAUGGAUGACACAUGUCAUUUAUUUGAAAGGGGCAAUUGCUCCACUACAAGAUGGACCUGCGUUGUAUUAGCUAGUAGGUGAGGUAAUGGCUCACCUAGGCGACGAUACAUAGCCGACCUGAGAGGGUGAUCGGCCACACUGGGACUGAGACACGGCCCAGACUCCUACGGGAGGCAGCAGUAGGGAAUCUUCGGCAAUGGGGGCAACCCUGACCGAGCAACGCCGCGUGAGUGAAGAAGAGUUUCGGAUCGUAAAGCUCGGUUGUAAGUCAAGAACGGGUGUGAGAGUGGAAAGUUCACACUGUGACGGUAGCUUACCAGAAAGGGACGGCUAACUACGUG